GAUGAAGAACGCAGCGAAGUGCGAUAAGUAAUGCGAAUUGCAGAUUUCAGUGAGUCAUCGAAUCUUUGAACGCACAUUGCGCCCGCCAGUAUUCUGGCGGGCAUGCCUGUUCGAGCGUCAUUUCAACCAUCAAGCCCCCGGGCUUGCGUUGGGGCCCUGCGGCUGCCGCAGGCCCCGAAAAGCAGUGGCGGGCUCGCUGUCACACCGAGCGCAGUAGCGAUUCUCGCUCCGGGCGUCGGCGGCGGGCACCGGCCGUGAAACCCCCCCACAUCCACAAGGUUGACCUCGGAUCAGGUAGGAAGACCCGCUGAACUUAAGCAUAUCAAUAAGCGGAGGA
rnacentral:misc_RNA from 1 species